rnacentral:rRNA from 1 species
GGUGAACGCUGGCGGUAGGCCUAACACAUGCAAGUCGAACGGCAGCACAGUAAGAGCUUGCUCUUACGGGUGGCGAGUGGCGGACGGGUGAGGAAUACAUCGGAAUCUACUUUUUCGUGGGGGAUAACGUAGGGAAACUUACGCUAAUACCGCAUACGACCUACGGGUGAAAGCAGGGGAUCUUCGGACCUUGCGCGAUUGAAUGAGCCGAUGUCGGAUUAGCUAGUUGGCGGGGUAAAGGCCCACCAAGGCGACGAUCCGUAGCUGGUCUGAGAGGAUGAUCAGCCACACUGGAACUGAGACACGGUCCAGACUCCUACGGGAGGCAGCAGUGGGGAAUAUUGGACAAUGGGCGCAAGCCUGAUCCAGCCAUACCGCGUGGGUGAAGAAGGCCUUCGGGUUGUAAAGCCCUUUUGUCGGGAAAGAAAAGCAGCAGGUUAAUACCCCGCUGUUCUGACGGUACCCAAAGAAUAAGCACCGGCUAACUUCGUG